rnacentral:rRNA from 1 species
AACGAACGCUGGCGGCAUGCCUAACACAUGCAAGUCGAACGAGACCUUCGGGUCUAGUGGCGCACGGGUGCGUAACGCGUGGGAACCUGCCCUUAGGUUCGGAAUAACUCCCCGAAAGGGGUGCUAAUACCGGAUAAUGUCUUCGGACCAAAGAUUUACCGCCUUUGGAUGGGCCCGCGUUGGAUUAGCUAGUUGGUAGGGUAAAAGCCUACCAAGGCGACGAUCCAUAGCUGGUCUGAGAGGAUGAUCAGCCACACUGGGACUGAGACACGGCCCAGACUCCUACGGGAGGCAGCAGUGGGGAAUAUUGGACAAUGGGCGAAAGCCUGAUCCAGCAAUGCCGCGUGAGUGAUGAAGGCCUUAGGGCUGUAAAGCUCUUUUACCCGGGAUGAUAAUGACAGUACCGGGAGAAUAAGCUCCGGCUAACUCCGUG